GGGGAUGAUUAGGGUUAGACACUCCGUAAAGCCGUGAGGAAACGGUUGUGGACUCCGGUUCGACUCCGGACAUCUCCACCA
rnacentral:tmRNA from 1 species